CGUGUUCUGCAUUGAGCGUUGUGUGUGUGUGAUCAGUCUGUUGUUGUUGUUGUUCAGGUGCGGGCGGAUCACGCGAGGAUCAUGUCGUCGUAUCCCUCCACAGCUUCUGCUCCAGUUUACCCGACACAUGGAUACUCUGCAAAUAACAGCUUCGGCAGUCAGUCGUGGUACAGCUACCCGAGCUCCUAUCCCACGUACCCUGGUGCCUUCUGGAACAACUCCAGCGGAGCGACCGGCCAAUCACAGCUCCACAGCGGCGCGGUGCAGUAUCCGAUGUGCAAACAGAGUGGCUUCCUGCUGCGGGAUGAGGAUGCAGCGUCAGACGGAGCAGACGUUGGCUCCAGUCCAAAGCAACACUCUGCAGAAGAGGAGCAGAAAGCACAGAUCUCCACAGAUGUUUUGGAGAAGGACGUCAGUGCAGCAGACGACAGCAGGACAUUGAUGCCGCCGCCAACAGCUCCAAUCAGAAAGAGACCGAGAGAAGAGACCUGCAACAAACCCCUCACACACACAGCUGAAGAACAGCUGAUGAUGAUGAAGAAGAUGAAGAUUCCAGAAGAUUCCAGCAGCUCCUCUGGACUCGUUCCGUACGGAGGAGAUUCAUCAGAUGAGGAGGAGGAGCGCAUGCGCAGCGGGAAUAAGAGCUAAGGACCUAACGCAUGCCUGCGCAGCAUCACAGACUUUUUAUUUUAAGUUUUAUUUUACACAGGACUGAUGUGCAACUGUUCCUAUGGAAUAAAAGAAAUAAACACCACACCGAUGCUGCCGUCUUGUUUAUUCAGCUCUAGAAUCAGCCCAGAUCUUUAG
rnacentral:lncRNA from 1 species